rnacentral:rRNA from 1 species
CCCUACGGGGGGCAGCAGCAAGGAAUUUUCCGCAAUGGGCGCAAGCCUGACGGAGCAACGCCGCGUGUGGGAUGACGCUUUUCGGAGUGUAAACCACUGUUCGUGGGGACGAAGCACUGACGGUACCCACGGAGGAAGGCCCGGCUAACUACGUGCCAGCAGCCGCGGUAAUACGUAGGGGUCGAGCGUUGUCCGGAGUUACUGGGCGUAAAGCGCAUGCAGGCGGCUCAUUACGCAUGGCGUGAAAGCCCCCGGCUUAACCGGGGAGGGUCGUCGUGAACGGGUGAGCUUGAGGGUAUCAGGGGCUGGUGGAAUUCCCGGUGUAGUGGUGAAAUGCGUAGAGAUCGGGAGGAACACCUGUGGCGAAGGCGGCCAGCUGGGAUACACCUGACGCUGAGAUGCGAAGGCGUGGGGAGCGAACGGGAUUAGAUACCCGGGUAGUCC